GACGAACGCUGGCGGCGUGCUUAACACAUGCAAGUCGAGCGGUAAGGCCCUUUCGGGGGUACACGAGCGGCGAACGGGUGAGUAACACGUGGGUGACCUGCCCUCAGCUCUGGGAUAAGCCUGGGAAACCGGGUCUAAUACUGGAUAUGACUCCAUGACGCAUGUUGUGGGGUGGAAAGCCUUGUGCGGCUGAGGAUGGGCCCGCGGCCUAUCAGCUUGUUGGUGGGGUGAUGGCCUACCAAGGCGACGACGGGUAGCCGGCCUGAGAGGGCGACCGGCCACACUGGGACUGAGACACGGCCCAGACUCCUACGGGAGGCAGCAGUGGGGAAUCUUGCGCAAUGGGCGAAAGCCUGACGCAGCGACGCCGCGUGAGGGACGACGGCCUCGG
rnacentral:rRNA from 1 species